rnacentral:rRNA from 1 species
UACGAAGGGGGCUAGCGUUGUUCGGAAUUACUGGGCGUAAAGCGCACGUAGGCGGAUAUUUAAGUCAGGGGUGAAAUCCUGGAGCUCAACUCCAGAACUGCCUUCGAUACUGGCGAUCUUGAGUCCGGAAGAGGUGAGUGGAACUCCUAGUGUAGAGGUGGAAUUCGUAGAUAUUAGGAAGAACACCAGUGGCGAAGGCGGCUCACUGGUCCGGUACUGACGCUGAGGUGCGAAAGCGUGGGGAGCAAACAGG